GUACACCAUAAUAUAUGCACUUCAGCAGUACAUACUACACAGAGAAGAUUAGCAUGGCUUCUGGUCAAGGGUGACAUGUAAUUUAUGAAGUGUUCCUUAUUUUU